rnacentral:lncRNA from 1 species
CUUCAUUACCAGUCAGUUCAGAUAUAAUUGUUAUGUUCAUUUUCAAUGUUCAUUCAGCUUUGAAAUUUUGUUCAUGCUAAUUCACAACUACAUUGUGAAGGAUAGCCAGCUUAUUAUUCAAACUCUUUCAAUCAUGAUAUAUCUUUACCUUUUUUUUUUUUAAACUUGCUGGGCAACUUUCAUGCUCACCCUUGCUAUAUCAUGAUAAAACAUUGCAGAUAAGGCGAAUACGGCCAGUUACAGGAAAAGGAAAAUGCCAAGUUCAGCUUGGGAUAGAAUGUGCAGCUAAUUUGUAAAAGUAUGGUUGAAGAAUAGUAUUGUCAUGUGUUAGAUAGUUUAUGAUUGUGUAUUAGUUAAGGUUACUCGAUUUUGGGGAAAUAGUGUGUAAAGUUUAAUGUAUAAACAAUUUAUGUUUAUAUCUUCCGCAAUAGUGAUAGAAUUAGUAUACCGGAUCCGCGGCGAUUUGGGACCCUGAUUCGGGGAUGCUACAGUGGCGACUCUGCUAGGGACUCCAGUAAGAGGACUUAGCCGCUAUUACAAUCUUUUCAAAACUGUUAUAUGCUUGUGUGUGGAUGUUGCAUUUACAUUUAUGAUGAAUGUGUACGAAUGCAUAUCUUUACUGUGCUUAAUGUUAUACACUAUAUAUGCUUGUGAUAUUAGUGCUUCACACAUGUCAUCAUUUCCAUACGGUGAGACGCGAUGUAUGUGAAUGUAUAUUGUGUGGUCCCUCCAC